rfam:Clostridium sp. TSBA 49 genome assembly, contig: Ga0111601_106
UGAAUUAAGUAGAAACAGCCGUUUCUCACCUUGAGGCUUUGCUAAAGAGGUUUUAAUAGGUUAACUUUUAGUGUUGAGCUAUUUAAAGGACGGCUUUUGCUGUCCUUUUUUUAAUUU